GCCUAACACAUGCAAGUCGAGCGGCAGCACAAGGGAGUUUACUCCUGAGGUGGCGAGCGGCGGACGGGUGAGUAAUGCCUAGGGAUCUGCCCAGUCAAGGGGGAUAACAGUUGGAAACGACUGCUAAUACCGCAUACGCCCUACGGGGUGAAAGAGGGGGACCUUCGUGGCCUCUCGCGAUUGGAUGAACCUAGGUGGGAUUAGCUAGUUGGUGAGGUAAUGGCUCACCAAGGCGACGAUCCCUAGCUGCUCUGAGAAGGAUGAUCAGCCACACU
rnacentral:rRNA from 1 species